rnacentral:rRNA from 1 species
CGGAAGGCAGCAGUGAGGAAUAUUGGUCAAUGGGCGGAAGCCUGAACCAGCCAAGUCGCGUGAAGGAUGAAGGUAUUAUGUAUUGUAAACUUCUUUAGCAGUGGAGUAAUAAGGAGCUCGUGAGCUCCGAUGCAAGUACACUGAAAAUAAGGAUCGGCUAACUCCGUGCCAGCAGCCGCGGUAAUACGGAGGAUCCGAGCGUUAUCCGGAUUUAUUGGGUUUAAAGGGUGCGCAGGCGGCCUUGUAAGUCAGCGGUUAAAUCGUGGAGCUCAACUCCAUCCCGCCGUUGAUACUGCAGGGCUUGAUUGCGGUUGAGGUUGGCGGAAUUCGUCGUGUAGCGGUGAAAUGCAUAGAUAUGACGAAGAACACCGAUUGCGUAGGCAGCUGACCAAGCCGUAAAUGACGCUCAUGCACGAAAGUGCGGGGAUCGAACAGGAUUAGAUACCCUGGUA